CCUACGGGAGGCAGCAGUGAGGAAUAUUGGUCAAUGGCCGGAAGGCUGAACCAGCCAAGUCGCGUGAGGGACGACUGCCCUAUGGGUUGUAAACCUCUUUUAUAAGGGAAGAAUAAAUGCUACGUGUAGCAUGAUGCCUGUACCUUAUGAAUAAGCAUCGGCUAACUCCGUGCCAGCAGCCGCGGUAAUACGGAGGAUGCGAGCGUUAUCCGGAUUUAUUGGGUUUAAAGGGUGCGCAGGCGGACCAUCAAGUCAGCGGUAAAAUCGUGGGGCCCAACCCCAUCCCGCCGUUGAAACUGGCGGUC
rnacentral:rRNA from 1 species